rnacentral:lncRNA from 1 species
AUUUCUACUGCACGGAUAGCGCAGAGAGAGACCCACAAUAAAAGAUAUUGACAUGAAGAAAGACAUUGAGACAUUGAUAGCAGAGGAACGCGCUGACAUCAUCUUGAAAUAUGAUACGGAGGAAGAGUUCACACUUGUUUGAGCGUGUCGUUAAAAAGCACGACCGUCGCUCUAAGAGGGAUAAGAAAGAGAAACCGAGUGUGAGUGUGUGUGUGUUGCUAAGCAUUGUCUGUGUGGGUUUAUGAAGAAGCCUAAUAGCA